rnacentral:rRNA from 1 species
UACGUAGGGUGCAAGCGUUGUCCGGAAUUAUUGGGCGUAAAGGGCUCGUAGGCGGUCCAUCGCGUCGGGAGUGAAAAGCUGGGGCUCAACCCCAGUCCUGCUUCCGAUACGGGUGGACUAGAGGUAUGCAGGGGAGAACGGAAUUCCUGGUGUAGCGGUGAAAUGCGCAGAUAUCAGGAGGAACACCGGUGGCGAAGGCGGCUAUCUGGACGGUUUCUGACACUAAGACUCGAAAGCGUGGGGAGCAAACAGG